AUUGUGCCUUAUCACAUACAAGUCAGAAAAGCUGUGACCUCCUCUGCGCCACCAAACCGCCGUCGCCGGUCACCAACUCCAUCCAUGGCUCAUGCUGAUAAUUCAAAGUCCAACAAUUCGGAGCAGCGACCCUAUCUUCGGCUCGAUCCUCCGAAAUUCAACGGAGACGACCCAUGGGGAUGGACUUUCAAGGUUGACAUGUAUUUCGACUAUUACGGAAUGUCGGAAGAGCAUCGUCUACACUUUGUCGGACUACUCUUCGAGCAGCCGGCGCUGGAUUGGCUCAUUUACCGAAAAAAAACACAAUUAGCUGAAAUCAUGGCCUGGUUUCAUGGAGGCGGUGAAAGAGAGGUUUGAUCCAACAUAUCAUGACAAUCACUUAGGGAAACUCUGCAAGCUGCAGCAACUCAACACGGUGAUGGAAUAUCAGACCGAGUUCGAGAGGCUUUUGGUCAAGAUUAAGGGUGCAUCGCUAUCGGAGAGUCACCUUGUCUCCAUAUGUGAAUCGGGCUUCAAAGAUGCUAUUCGAUGGGAACUACACUUGCGAAAGCCGUCGUCCUUGUGUGAAAUGUUUGCGCCUGCGCGCGAAUUCGAGAAGAUGUACGAUGAAGGCUUCAAGUGAGAGAGGUAUGUUUUGGUUGUUUUAUUUGUUUUGAGUUGAAUUUUGUGGGGAUUGAAUAUAUUUGCAGUUGUUUCCAAUUAUAAUUAGAAGUUGAAGUUGGAUAUAAUUCUUAUAAGAUUGAAUUUAUCUUUUUGUUUCAAUUUGUAAUAGGAUUUUUGUUGUCUAGGCUUUAUUGUUAGUUUGAA